AAGCAGCACUAAGCUACCUAUGAUGUGUUUUGAUAAGUGUGAUAGCCUGCUAGCCGAGCGGUGCGAUAGCCUGCUAGCCGAGCGGUGCGAUAGCCUGCUAGCCGAGCGGUGCGAUAGCCUGCUAGCCGAGCGGUGCGAUAGCCUGCUAGCCGAGCGGUGCGAUAGCCUGCUAGCCGAGCGGUGCGAUAGCCUGCUAGCCGAGCGGUGCGAUAGCCUGCUAGCCGAGCGGUGCGAUAGCCUGCUAGCCGAGCGGUGCGAUAGCCUGCUAGCCGAGCGGUGCGAUAGCCUGCUAGCCGAGCGGUGCGAUAGCCUGCUAGCCGAGCGGUGCGAUAGCCUGCUAGCCGAGUGGUUUUCAUGAAACAUGGUGGGGGGUUUAUAGGAUGUGUGUCAGAGAAGGUGCGAGAGUCAUAAUUUGUUACGCAACCCACCAUGUGAAACCAACAAAAUUGCCAUGAUUGUGUGUGAACAGCCCCUGGUGUGGGUGUGUAUUAUUCAGCUUCAGUUUGAAAACCUCAGUUAUGCCACAGGAGGUUGGUGGCACCCUAAUUGGGGAGGAUAGGCUAGAGGUAAUGACUGGAGUGGAAUGAGAGGAAAUGGUAUCAUAUACAGAGCAGAAAUAUUCACACCUUCUUCCACAUGUUGUUCUUGUCACUGGCCUACACACACACACACACACACACACACACACACACACACACACACACACACACACACACACACACACACACACACACACACACACACACACUGCCCCACAUGUCGAAGUGGAAUUGUUGUUUAGAAAAUAUUUACAAA